rnacentral:rRNA from 1 species
UACGUAGGCAGCAAGCGUUGUUCGGAGUUACUGGGCGUAAAGGGUGCGUAGGCGGUUCUGUAAGUAUGGUGUGAAAUCUCCCGGCUUAACUGGGAGGGUGCGCUAUAAACUGCGGGGCUAGAGUGUGGGAGAGGAAAGUGGAAUUCCUGGUGUAGCGGUGAAAUGCGUAGAUAUCAGGAGGAACACCGGUGGUGUAAACGGCUUUCUGGACCAUAACUGACCGGCUGAAGCAACGAAGGCCAGGGGAGCAAACGGG